CUACGGGACGCUGCAGUGGGGAAUAUUGGACAAUGGGGGAAACCCUGAUCCAGCAAUGCCGCGUGAGUGAAGAAGGCCUUCGGGUUGUAAAACUCUUUUAUAGGGGAAGAUAAUGACGGUACCCUAUGAAUAAGCUCCGGCUAACUUCGUGCCAGCAGCCGCGGUAAUACGAAGGGAGCAAGCGUUGUUCGGAAUAACUGGGCGUAAAGGGCGCGUAGGCGGCCUGAUAAGUUCGAUGUGAAAGCCCUGGGCUUAACCUAGGAAUAGCAUUGAAUACUGUUGGGCUUGAGUGUUGAAGGGGAUGAUGGAAUUAUGCAUGGAGAGGUGGAAUUCAUAGAUAUGCAUAGGAACACCGGUGGCGAAGGCGAUCAUCUGGACAACAACUGACGCUGAGGCGCGAAAGCGUGGGGAGCAAACAGGAUUAGAUACCCUAGUAGUC
rnacentral:rRNA from 1 species